GGAGGAAAGCAGGGGAUCGUAAGACCUCGCGUUAAUGGAGUGGCCGAUAUCUGAUUAGCUAGUUGGUGAGGUAAAGGCUCACCAAGGCGACGAUCAGUAGCUGGUCUGAGAGGACGACCAGCCACACUGGAACUGAGACACGGUCCAGACUCCUACGGGAGGCAGCAGUGGGGAAUUUUGGACAAUGGGCGCAAGCCUGAUCCAGCCAUUCCGCGUGAGUGAAGAAGGCCUUCGGGUUGUAAAGCUCUUUCGCAAGGGAAGAAAACUUACUCAAUAACACUGGGUGAGGCUGACGGUACCUUGAUAAGAAGCACCGGCUAACUACGUGCCAGCAGCCGCGGUAAUACGUAGGGUGCGAGCGUUAAUCGGAAUUACUGGGCGUAAAGCGUGCGCAGGCGGUUUUGUAAGUCAGAUGUGAAAGCCCCGGGCUCAACCUGGGAACUGCGUUUGAAACUACAAGGCUAG
rnacentral:rRNA from 1 species